AUGGCACCACCAGGAGUGGAGCCUGCGGCUUAAUUUGACUCAACACGGGAAAACUUACCCGGCCCGGACACUGGAAGGAUUGACAGAUUGAGAGCUCUUUCUUGAUUCAGUGGGUGGUGGUGCAUGGCCGUUCUUAGUUGGUGGAGCGAUUUGUCUGGUUAAUUCCGAUAACGAACGAGACUCUAGCCUACUAAAUAGACUACCGUUCCUUUGUGACGGUAGGACUUCUUAGAGGGACAGGCGGCGACUCAGCCGCACGAAACAGAGCAAUAACAGGUCUGUGAUGCCCUUAGAUGUCCGGGGCCGCACGCGCGCUACACUGAAGUGAUCAGCGUGCAUUAAUAACCCUCUCUGUCAAGAGUGGGUAACCCAUUGAACCUUCUUCGUGAUUGGGAUAGGGUAUUGUAAUUCUUACCCUUGAACGAGGAAUUCCCAGUAAGCGCGAGUCAUAAGCUUGCGUUGAUUACGUCCCUGCCCUUUGUACACACCGCCCGUCGCUACUACCGAUUGAAUGAUUUA
rnacentral:rRNA from 1 species